AUUGAACGCUGGCGGCAGGCCUAACACAUGCAAGUCGAGCGGAUGAAGGGAGCCUGCUCCUGGAUUCAGCGGCGGACGGGUGAGUAAUGCCUAGGAAUCUGCCUGGUAGUGGGGGAUAACAUCCGGAAACGGGCGCUAAUACCGCAUACGUCCUGAGGGAGAAAGUGGGGGAUCUUCGGACCUCACGCUAUCAGAUGAGCCUAGGUCGGAUUAGCUAGUUGGUGGGGUAAAGGCCUACCAAGGCGACGAUCCGUAACUGGUCUAAGAGGAUGAUCAGUCACACUGGAACUGAGACACGGUCCAGACUCCUACGGGAGGCAGCAGUGGGGAAUAUUGGACAAUGGGCGAAAGCCUGAUCCAGCCAUGCCGCGUGUGUGAAGAAGGUCUUCGGAUUGUAAAGCACUUUAAGUUGGGAGGAAGGGCAGUAAGUUAAUACCUUGCUGUUUUGACGUUACCAACAGAAUAAGCACCGGCUAACUUCGUG
rnacentral:rRNA from 1 species